rnacentral:lncRNA from 1 species
CCUACCGCCAACAAGUAUUCACAUGCUGGAUUUUAUUGAGAUUAUCCCUGCAGUUAUUUGAUAUCAGUCAGGUUCAAUACCCCUCUGCUAAUGAGGUAGCAUGAUUCUACCUCUUAAACCCAAAAGAAGCUAUUGUUACUUGAGUUUAUCCCUCAAAACAUGAUUGCCCAUAGGAAUCAUCCAUUUUUUCAUAUUGAGAAACCACCAUAUCCAGCCAUAUGUUCAUUGUUAAGCCUUCAUAAUUUAACUCAACUAUCCAACUUGAAAGCUUAAUUAUCCAACUUCAAAACAUUGCCAAUUUUUGGAUGAAUCAGUGAUCCAACUUAGGGAUGGCAAUCAGGUCGGGUCAAGUCAUAAACGGAUCGGCUCAGAUGCAGAUCGGGUCAGAAAAGCCCAAACAUGAAUCAGACCUGUUUACUAAAUAAGCCAGAUUUUGAAAUCUGAACCUAUCCAAUUUAAUAAACCGGCAAUCCGACUCGACCUGUUUAACUUGUUUAAUAAACAGGAACCCAUUUAUCCAACCCGGCCUGUUUAACUUGUUUAUCCAAGGUCUUGGACUCUUGGCCCAAUACUGUUGGACCUGUUAACCCAACCCAAAAUCUAACCUGUUUAACCUGUUAAUCUAACUUGUUUAAUAGAUAAACCUGCCAGUAAUAGGCUGUUGCAUAAAAGGACAAAAUCUGAAAUAUGAAC